AUCCUCAGGUACAUAAGCGUGAUGACUGGGUGUUCAUGCUCCAUGCAUGACAUGUGCCUCCUUUGAACCUUGUUACGACAUUGGCACAUUACCCAUCUGACG
rnacentral:snoRNA from 1 species